rnacentral:rRNA from 1 species
UCGCGAAAACUUCACAAUGGGGGAAACCCCGAUGAGGGAAUUCCAAGUGUCAGCACAUUGUGUUGACUGUUCCCCUGUCUAAAAAACAGGAGAAGUAAGGGCCGGGUAAGACGGGUGCCAGCCGCCGCGGUAAUACCCGCGGCCCGAGUGGUGGUCGAUAUUAUUGAGCCUAAAACGUUCGUAGCCGGUCUUGUAAAUCCUUGGGUAAAUCGGCCAGCUUAACUGUCCGAAGUCCGGGGAGACUGCAAGACUUGGGAUCGGGAGAGGUCAGAGGUACUUCUAGGGUAGGGGUAAAAUCCUGUAAUCCUAGAAGGACCACCGGUGGCGAAGGCGUCUGACUAGAACGAAUUCGACGGUGAGGAACGAAGCCCUGGGGCGCAAACGGGAUUAGAUACCCCGGUAGUCCAGGGUGUAAACGCUGCGGGCUUGGUGUUGGGGUCCUUUGUGGGCGCCCAGUGCCGGAGAGAAGUUGUUAAGCCUGCUGCUUGGGGAGUACGUCCGCAAGGAUGAAACUUAAAGGAAUUGGCGGGGGAGCACCGCAACGGG